CAGUAGCCGCGGUAAUACGGAGGGUGCGAGCGUUAAUCGGAAUUACUGGGCGUAAAGCGUGCGCAGGCGGUUUGUUAAGACAGAUGUGAAAUCCCCGGGCUUAACCUGGGAACUGCAUUUGUGACUGGCAAGCUAGAGUCUGGCAGAGGGGGGUGGAAUUCCGCGUGUAGCAGUGAAAUGCGUAGAUACGCGGAGGAACACCGAUGGCGAAGGCAGCCCCCUGGGCCAACACUGACGCUCACGCACGAAAGCGUGGGGAGCAAACAGGAUUAGAUACCCCGGUAGUCCCUGUCUCUUAUAC
rnacentral:rRNA from 1 species